rnacentral:lncRNA from 1 species
GCUCUUUAAGAGCCACACGGCUGGCAGGAGAGGCGCGCGGCCCGGUGCUGGUAGAGCACUGACCCCGAAGGGGAUUUAGCGGGAAGAGAGUGGCCGGGCUCUGGGGGUUUUGUCCGAGGGGGCCGGGAGAGGCCGAGACACAAGAAUAAGGAGCGGCCGCGGCAUGAAAGGCGGCGAGGAGAGGCAGCACUGCUGCUCUUGACUUCUGAGCAGGGCUUAGAGAGCCUGCCCCGGCUUAAGCCGAGCUGCUGGUGCUGACCCUGAGCGCCGAGUCCGCGAGCUCUGAGUCCGGAGCCUCCCAGCCGUGGAGCCGUGGGAUGAGGGGGGCGUUGGGGGACAGGGCAAAGUCGAUCUUGGUUGUACAGCCGCCCGAUCCUAGCGCGGAGCUGCGAGCCUGACCGGCCGCGUCUGGCAUGGUCAGAGAAAGAAUUUUCUUUUCCCAACUCCGGCUUUUGGUUUUGUGUGUCCACCUUGCGCAACUCCGGAGCCAGCCGACCCCACAUGGAUUCUCAACAGGUGGCCGGCACAUCUUCUGAGCCUCGCUCUCUCAUCUGAAAGUGGAGUGUAAGUCCAAGAAGAUUCAUUUAGACAAAGAAGGUGGAAAAAAAGGACUUUCUGGGCCAGCAAGUCGGAUGACCACCCUCCAAGGGGCAGAGGAGGGCCCAUUUUGUGAAGAAGAAAUCAACUACCCGGAAAACGCCACAGGAGGACAUGUUUCUGCAGAUGUAGUUGCCCUAGAAACAGAAGAGUAUGGGGGUGUGAAUGUCUUCUCUUUUGGGGGCAAACACUAUGUCCUUUUCUUUUUCUAGAUACAGUUAAUUCCUGGAAAUUUUAGCGAGUUUGUUCUUGUGGAUAUUUUGAACAAUAAAGAGUGAAAAUCA